rnacentral:rRNA from 1 species
GCAUAAUCAUUUGCCUUUUAAUUAAAGGCUAGUAUGAACGGAUAAACGAAAAUAAAACUGUCUCUUUUAAAUACCUAAAAAUUAAUUUUUUUGUGAAAAAGCAAAAAUAUCAAUAAAAGACAAAAAGACCCUAUAGAACUUUAUUGAAUCUAUUUUAUUACCCUUCAUAACCUAAUAAAAUAGCCACUGUUUAGUUGGGGCGACUUAGGAAUAAAUCCAUCUUCCUUAUAUAAAUUCAGCAUAUCCGCCUACACCAAUGACCCAUUAUAUGAUCAUAAGAAUAGUUACCUUAGGGAUAACAGACUAAUUUCCCUUAAGAGUCCAUAUUGACAGGGAAGUUUGGCACCUCGAUGUUGGCUUAGAUACCCCUAAAAGUGCAGACGCUUUUAACGGCAGGCUUGUUCAUCCUUUAAUUAUCU